rnacentral:rRNA from 1 species
AUACGAAGGGGGCUAGCGUUGUUCGGAUUUACUGGGCGUAAAGCGCACGUAGGCGGAUUGAUUAGUUAGGGGUGAAAUCCCGAGGCUCAACCUCGGAACUGCCUCUAAAACUGUCAAUCUCGAGACCGGAAGAGGUGAGUGGAACUCCUAGUGUAGAGGUGGAAUUCGUAGAUAUUAGGAAGAACGCCAGUGGCGAAGGCGGCUCACUGGUCCGGUACUGACGCUGAGGUGCGAAAGCGUGGGGAGCGAACAGGAUUAGAAACCCUUGUAGUCC